GUGAUUAGGCUAAUGGCCCUCCAUUAGUCUGUCAAUCCACUUGAGUAAUUUGUGUAAUGUUACAGGUGAAUCCCGACAGGUUCUGAUCUC